UACAGAGGUCUCAAGCGUUGUUCGGAUUCAUUGGGCGUAAAGGGUGCGUAGGCGGCGCGGUAAGUCGGAUGUGAAAUCUCGGAGCUUAACUUCGAAACUGCAUUCGAUACUGCCGUGCUUUGAGGACUGGAGAGGAGACUGGAAUUUACGGUGUAGCGGUGAAAUGCGUAGAUAUCGUAAGGAAGACCAGUGGCGAAGGCGGGUCUCUGGACAGUUCCUGACGCUGGAGGCACGAAGGUCAGGGGAGCAAACGGG
rnacentral:rRNA from 1 species